rnacentral:rRNA from 1 species
GCAAUGCCGCGUGCAGGAUGAAGGCCUUCGGGUUGUAAACUGCUUUUGUACGGAACGAAACGGUGAGCUCUAAUACAGCUUGCUAAUGACGGUACCGUAAGAAUAAGCACCGGCUAACUACGUGCCAGCAGCCGCGGUAAUACGUAGGGUGCGAGCGUUAAUCGGAAUUACUGGGCGUAAAGCGUGCGCAGGCGGUGAUGUAAGACAGAUGUGAAAUCCCCGGGCUCAACCUGGGACCUGCAUUUGUGACUGCAUCGCUAGAGUACGGUAGAGGGGGAUGGAAUUCCGCGUGUAGCAGUGAAAUGCGUAGAUAUGCGGAGGAACACCGAUGGCGAAGGCAAUCCCCUGGACCUGUACUGACGCUCAUGCACGAAAGCGUGGGGAGCAAACAGGAUUAAAUACCCUGGUAGUCCAGGCCCUAAACGAUGUCUACUGGUUGUUGGNUCUUCACUGACUCACUAACGAAGCUAAC